rnacentral:lncRNA from 1 species
GGUGACUAUGGUACUUUCUUGAAAAAUUAUGUACUGUUUUUAAGUCAGAAAAACAGUGAAAGUCAGUGAAAAUUGUAGAAAUUACAGAAAGGUAUUUUCCAAGGAUAUCAAAUCUUGCAGAGAGCAAAGUAGAUUGGCAAAGUCACUCAUGACUUUCUGGUGAAUGUCAACAGUCCUAGAUGUGAAAGGAGAGCAAUGCACUGAGAACAAAUUCAAAGAAUUAUUGCAAGGAGUUAGUACAGACUGGAGGGGCUCUGCACACACCACAAGUUCUGUACACAUUAAGUAUUAAGGUUGAUGGCAAAGGAACAGUUGUGUGUAGAAUGGGACCUAGAUGAGAAAGCAAGGUUCAACAAAGAUUGUUUUUGUUUUGUUUUGUUUUGUUUUUUUGAAGGACAACUAAGAAUAUAUGUCAAAAGAUUCUGGAGCAAAGUCCCUGAAGAGAACACAUUGAAGCAACAGGUGAUAACUAUAAAGGCCUGGUGUGUGUGCUCAGCUAUUAUUUAUAACUUUAAAGAGCAACUGAAUGAUUUUGGACCUCUGCUGAAAUUCAAACCAAAUUAGAAGCCAGACGGUUGUUACCCAUAAUCCCCACAUGAGAUGAAUCCCAGGAAGCCCAUCUGCUUGAAUUCCCCAUUUCCACAUGGAAGUUAGGAUCUCCAGCUAUUCAUAAUCUGGUGAGUCAUUUCAUCUUUUUUCUUUUGUCAUGUGUGCCAAAGAAAAUUUCUGCUGAGGAAUAUAAGGAAUCUAAAUUCUGACUGGUGUCUAUGGAGCAUAUAGUAAAUGGUCCUUAUCAUGAAUAUCUGUAGAAAACUCAGAAGGGUAGAACAUAAUAUUGUGCAUGUUAUAAACUAAAUUCUAUUCUCAACUAUAGCUACUCAGGACUUCUAAUCUUGACUGUUAAAAUCAACUUCCCAUUUCUAGUCUCCUCCCCUGGCCCAUCCCAUCCAUGCACUACCAGAUUAAUCUUUCAAAGUAGCUCUGUCUAAUAGAAUG